rnacentral:rRNA from 1 species
ACGCUGGCGGCGUGCUUAACACAUGCAAGUCGAACGAUGAAGCCUAGCUUGCUAGGUGGAUUAGUGGCGAACGUGUGAGUAAUACGUGAGUAACCUACCUUUAACUCUGGGAUAAGCCUGGGAAACUGGGUCUAAUACCGGAUACGACCAAUCUCCGCAUGGGGUGUUGGUGGAAAGCGUUAUGUAGUGGUUAUAGAUGGGCUCACGGCCUAUCAGCUUGUUGGUGAGGUAACGGCUCACCAAGGCGACGACGGGUAGCCGGCCUGAGAGGGUGACCGGCCACACUGGGACUGAGACACGGCCCAGACUCCUACGGGAGGCAGCAGUGGGGAAUAUUGCACAAUGGGCGCAAGCCUGAUGCAGCGACGCCGCGUGAGGGAUGACGGCCUUCGGGUUGUAAACCUCUGUUAGCAGGGAAGAAGAGAGAUUGACGGUACCUGCAGAGAAAGCGCCGGCUAACUACGUGCCAGCAGCCGCGGUAAUACGUAGGGCGCGAGCGUUGUCCGGAAUUAUUGGGCGUAAAGAGCUUGUAGGCGGUUUGUCGCGUCUGCUGUGAAAGGCCGGAGCUUAACUCCGUGUAUUGCAGUGGGUACGGGCAGACUAGAGUGCAGUAGGGGAGACUGGAAUUCCUGGUGUAGCGGUGGAAUGCGCAGAUAUCAGGAGGAACACCGGUGGCGAAGGCAGGUCUCUGGGCUGUAACUGACGCUGAGAAGCGAAAGCAUGGGGAGCGAACAGGAUUAGAUACCCUGGUAGUCCAUGCCGUAAACGUUGGGCACUAGGUGUGGGGGACAUUCCACGUUUUCCGCGCCGUAGCUAACGCAUUAAGUGCCCCGCCUGGGGAGUACGGCCGCAAGGCUAAAACUCAAAGAAAUUGACGGGGGCCCGCACAAGCGGCGGAGCAUGCGGAUUA